rnacentral:miRNA from 1 species
GGUCUCACUGUGUACUUCAGACUGACCUGGAACUCACUAUGUAGCCCAGGCUGGUCUCGAACUCACAGCGAUCCUCCUGCCUCAGCCUCCCGAGUGCUGGGAUUAAUAGGCGUGCGCCACCACGCCUG